rnacentral:lncRNA from 1 species
CCCCAAUUGAAUUACGUUUAUUUACCUGGCUUCAGUGCGUAACUGUACUUGAAACUUGAGUCGCGACUUGAACAUGAAAUACUUGAUCGAGUCCGGGGUUCCCAUCAACUUUAAAUGGCAAAACUGUUUGGUCCAGUCAGAAGUCAGAUGCAGGAAGGCGUUUCACUCAUUAGGAGUCAUGGAAAAUCGUAAAACGCUUUUGCGGCCAGCAGUCGGCAAUCAGUCGGCGUGUUGCAAUACCAAUAGAUGAACAAACGACCUCAGACAUGCCAAAUACAUAUGUAUGUAUGUGCAUAUGUACUAUGAACAUGGGCGGAACUCGUAUAGGGGAAUGUUUUUUCCUUUGCAGAACCCCCGCCAAGUUGCAGUCCACACCCGUGGAUCAGCACGAGCCACCAGCAACGUUCCAAUGACUGGGCACACACGUCCAAGACGGAGACUUUGUCGAAGAAGCAGUCGGUCGAAAUCGGAGUCCGACUAGCCUGGAUGAUAGUCUCGUCAUUAAGUGAGAGUGUCGGCCAGCGACAGUGUGAAUGUGAAUGUGAGUGUGGAUUGGCA